GACGAACGCUGGCGGCGUGCUUAACACAUGCAAGUCGAGCGGUAAGGCCCUUUCGGGGGUACACGAGCGGCGAACGGGUGAGUAACACGUGGGUGACCUGCCCUCAGCUCUGGGAUAAGCCUGGGAAACCGGGUCUAAUACCGGAUAUGACUCCAUGACGCAUGUUGUGGGGUGGAAAGCCUUGUGCGGCUGAGGAUGGGCCCGCGGCCUAUCAGCUUGUUGGUGGGGUGAUGGCCUACCAAGGCGACGACGGUAGCCGGCCUGAGAGGGCGACCGGCCACACUGGGACUGAGACACGGCCCAGACUCCUACGGGAGGCAGCAGGUGGGGAAUCUUGCGCAAUGGGCGAAAGCCUGACGCAGCGACGCCGCGUGA
rnacentral:rRNA from 1 species